rnacentral:rRNA from 1 species
AUUGAACGCUGGCGGCAUGCUUUACACAUGCAAGUCGAACGGUAACAGGCCUUCGGGUGCUGACGAGUGGCGAACGGGUGAGUAAUGCAUCGGAACGUGCCCAAUCGUGGGGGAUAACGUAGCGAAAGUUACGCUAAUACCGCAUAAGCCCUGAGGGGGAAAGUGGGGGACCGCAAGGCCUCACGCGAAUGGAGCGGCCGAUGUCAGAUUAGCUAGUUGGUGGGGUAAAGGCUCACCAAGGCGACGAUCUGUAGCGGGUCUGAGAGGAUGAUCCGCCACACUGGGACUGAGACACGGCCCAGACUCCUACGGGAGGCAGCAGUGGGGAAUUUUGGACAAUGGGCGCAAGCCUGAUCCAGCCAUGCCGCGUGCGGGACGAAGGCCUCGGUUGUAAACCGGCUUUCUAGCCGGAAGAAAUACGCUGUUUUAAUUACGGUACAGUGGAUGACGGUACCGGAAGAAGAAGACACCGGCUAACUACGUAGCCAGCAGCCGCGGUAAACGUAGUACGU